CAUUACUCUCUGACAGGCUGUGUCAACGGCCAUGAUUCUGCUCCGCUCCCUGCGGCAGGUGCUGCACGAUCCCACUACUCGCUGACAACUAGCGGCAACGGACGCCGCUCCACUACCUGCAACAGGCCCUACGUGGCGGGCUAUGACGAUAGCCACGGGUCUACCCCACUAUCUUUCGCAAUCAAUUCCCCUGACCAUGGGCGGCCCACUACCAGACGGUUACAAACGUCACCAUCAAUCCGUUGCCUCCUCCGCCUACAAAAGGGGGACC
rnacentral:lncRNA from 1 species